rnacentral:rRNA from 1 species
GACGAAGGGGGCUAGCGCUGUUCGGAAUUACUGGGCGUAAAGCGCGUGUAGGCGGUUGUUCAAGUCAGGUGUGAAAGCCUUGAGCUCAACUCAAGAAAUGCACUUGAUACUGGAUGACUAGAGGACCGGAGAGGAUAGUGGAAUUCCCAGUGUAGUGGUGAAAUACGUAGAGAUUGGGAAGAACACCAGUGGCGAAGGCGGCUAUCUGGACGGUUUCUGACGCUAAGACGCGAAAGCGUGGGGAGCAAACAGG